AACGAACGCUGGCGGCAUGCCUAACACAUGCAAGUCGAACGAAGGCUUCGGCCUUAGUGGCGCAAGGCUGCGUAACGCGUGGGAAUCUGCCCUUUGCUUCGGAAUAACAGUUAGAAAUGACUGCUAAUACCGGAUGAUGUCGCAAGACCAAAGAUUUAUCGGCAAAGGAUGAGCCCGCGUAGGAUUAGCUAGUUGGUGGGGUAAAGGCCUACCAAGGCGACGAUCCUUAGCUGGUCUGAGAGGAUGAUCAGCCACACUGGGACUGAGACACGGCCCAGACUCCUACGGGAAGCAGCAGUGGGGAAUAUUGGACAAUGGGCGAAAGCCUGAUCCAGCAAUGCCGCGUGAGUGAUGAAGGCCUUAGGGUUGUAAAGCUCUUUUACCCGGGAUGAUAAUGACAGUACCGGGAGAAUAAGCUCCGGCUAACUCCGUG
rnacentral:rRNA from 1 species